UAGGGAAUCUUCGGCAAUGGACGAAAGUCUGACCGAGCAACGCCGCGUGAGUGAAGAAGGUUUUCGGAUCGUAAAACUCUGUUGUUAGAGAAGAACAAGGACGUUAGUAACUGAACGUCCCCUGACGGUAUCUAACCAGAAAGCCACGGCUAACUACGUGCCAGCAGCCGCGGUAAUACGUAGGUGGCAAGGGUUGUCCGGAUUUAUUGGGCGUAAAGCGAGCGCAGGCGGUUUCUUAAGUCUGAUGUGAAAGCCCCCGGCUCAACCGGGGAGGGUCAUUGGAAACUGGGAGAGUGGAGUGCAGAAGAGGAGAGUGGAAUUCCAUGUGUAGCGGUGAAAUGCGUAGAUAUAUGGAGGAACACCAGUGGCGAAGGCGGCUCUCUGGUCUGUAACUGACGAUGAGGCUCGAAAGCGUGGGGAGCAAACAGG
rnacentral:rRNA from 1 species